AAGUCGUAACAAGGUUUCCGUAGGUGAACCUGCGGAAGGAUCAUUAGAAUGAGUCGGGGCCAUGUCACAGCCGAAAGGCUGUACGUGCCAGUAAGCGCCCGUAACCUCCGCCCUUGUGUAUUAUUCCACUGUUGCUUUGGUGGGCCGCGAGCCUUCGGGUGAGCACCGGCUUAGGCUGGAGAGUGCCUGCCAGAGGACCCAACUCUGUAAUCUAGUCAUGUCUGAGUACUAUAAAAUAGUUAAAACUUUCAACAACGGAUCUCUUGGUUCUG
rnacentral:misc_RNA from 1 species